UGAAUGGUGGGAUACUGAGAUUGGAGGGUUGGUGUAGCAGCGAGAGGUGAAGUGGAGAACCUGCUACAGCGGGUGGGAAUAAAUUGUGGAGAAAUUGAAAUUGGUGGAGAUGGAGAAUUUGGAAGCCAUAAGCGUGAUGAUGAUGGUGACGAUGAUAGUUGAAAUUGAACACUCAUCACCAUGUUUAUUGCUGCUAGUGCUACUCUUGAGUUUCGUUUUUUGAUAUAAAUUCAAGGGAAGAUGCUCAAAAUAUACAUUAUCUUUUUAUUUGAAGAAAAAUAUUCAUUACAUACAAUACAAGCUGAUUUUUUCUUUUUUUCCGUAAAAUAUUUUAGAUUGAAGAAGUAAAAAAUGAUAUGCAUUGUUUAGUAUUUGGGAUAACGUUUAUCUUGUGAGCUUUGGGUUUAACAUAAAUAUUCGUUUUUUAUUUUUUUGUAUAUGCUUGAAAUUUAUAAAUAAAUAAGUUAUACAAUAAAUGUUAAUAAAUCUAUAAAGGCAUUUGUUAAAUAACUAAAUUGAGUAAUGAUAUUUGUGAGAUUCUUUUUCUGGUGUAAAUCGGGUAUCAUAUGCAUGUGUAACUAUGGAGAUUAAUCCAUCGAGCUUUGUGGGACCCAAAUUGACGAUAAACUCUUCCCAAGAGUUUUAACAUUGCUGCAUGUCUAAGGUUUGAUUUGAACCCAUGACUUUGGUUAAACUAAAAGAGACGUGUCAUCUCAUUUUAAUUUUGUUUUGUUUGUAUAUAGACUUUCAAACUUCAAAUCUAAUAUUUAUAUGCAAACAUGGAUAAUGGAUCAUAGAUUUGAAGACCAAAAGCUCACAAAGAAACAGAACCAUAGUUUUAAAAAGAGAACAUAUUUGCCUAAGUUGCUACACUUGAUUCAUGCUGUUUUGUCAUGUUUUUUUAAGUCAGCCUCUUUUGACUGUGUAAAGAUUUAAAAAGAGAACAAAUUUGCCUCAAGUUGUUACACUUGAUUCAUGAUGUUUUGUCAAUGUAGAUAGCUGUUUCUUAAUAUACAAGUAACACAGUAGCAGGCUAGCAGCUUGUUAUGUAAAUAAGAAACCCCAAGAGUAACAACACUUGGGUAUAUCACGUAAUGAGAAUAUACAAAUGUAGUGCACUUUAUCAUCGAUUAUAACCACCGAUAAUUUAAGACCAAACUCAGCAUUCACAAGCCUAAAGAAAGACCAAACUAUCUUGAUACUCAGCCAAAUAUAUAAAUAUGAUUACUUCAAUAGAAUUGACAUUUUUACUGUCAAAAUAACAUGAAGUACAGUUCUGGACCCUUGUAAUUGUUCUAAAAUAUAAUGACUUUCCCUACCAAUCAACUAUAUAUUUGAAAAUCUACAAAAUCACGGUGCUCCUGUGCAAAUGGACAGAAGCUACACUCGUGCAUUCAGCACAUGACAAUGCAGAAACAAACAUGCUAAGGACCAAAGAAUGACAUGCAAAUGUGCUUGUAAUUAACUCAACACCUACUGCUUUGUACACUUUCAUCCUUCCUCAAGGAGAGAUUAGAAAUCUAAGGAUCCGCACGACGGCACAAGUUAGCCAAAUGAGGGUGGGUAAGAAGAGUUGAGAAGAAUUUGUGAAUGUCUGGUACAAUGCAAUGAAGAAAGCGACGAUACCUGCAUGUUAAGAUUGAGAAAACAAAUAUGGUCAAUCCAGUUUACAGUAGAAGUACUAUUCAAGUUGUAAAUAGAGUAACAUAACAUACCAUGGUUUGGUACUCAGAUUAUCAAAUUGCUCCAGGACAAAGAGUAUGCAUGCAUAUCUUAAUGAUGUAGCAUUAAAAGUGUCUGACAUCACAUACAUCUGUGAAACAUUUUCCACAGAAAUAUCCUACAAGAAUAAUUUAACAGUAUUAAAUUAAACCAUUAAAAAUUCAACAAAAAUAAAAGCAACUGAAACUCAAGUUGUGGCCUACCUCAGAAAUAGCAUAUUCGCAAAGACUCUUAAGACCAUCAAGAAGAUAUUGAUCUGCAGCUUUAAGGAGGUCCGGAGCAAGAUCCAAAUCAAUAUCUACUGCUCCAGUGUAUAUAUAUCUAAAAUUUCAACAGAAAAUCAGUUCAAAUAUAGAGCCCUAUUAUAGAAACGUCAAAAUGUUAUAAAAGGGAGACUGCCAAAAUACCUCAUCAUCAACUCAAAGACAUCCCAUUUAAUAUUUGGAAUCUCUAUAUUUUUGGCUUCCUUUUCCUGCAUUAUACAUUGCAAGACAUUACUAAGGAUAUUUACACUUAAUUCCAAAAGAUCCAUUAGUCCUAUUUCAAUUGCAAAGUGAUUGAGAGGCUUUCAAAUUUUCCAAAAUGCAUGUGGGGCAAGAAAAUUAGUAACCACUUAGCCUAUUAAAGACGCCAAUCAAACAGCUGCCAUCACAAUCAACUGUAUACUUGAACAUUUGCAAAAGAAAGUUACUAGUUACAGCUAAUGGAUGCAUAAAAUUUGAAAGCCAGUGCCAGGAACGUUUUAGGUGUAAGACCAGUGCCAGGAUACGUAAAAUUAAACGAAGACUUGAAACAAGUUGAAUGAUUAGUUAAUACUAACCCUAUAGCCCCCAUCAAACAUUGCACGAAAUGUAUCAGAAGAAGAAAGUAAACAAACUCUAUGAGCAUAAAAGCUUUUGCCUGAAGAAGGGAGAACAAACUGAAUUAGUACAUAAAUAAGAAUCAAUAUGCAUACAACCAAAAAAUUGACAGAAAACGAUAACAAAAACUGUGGCAGCUUAUUUACCUUCAACUAUGAAUGUGACAUCAGAAAGUUUAGGAUUGUUUACGUAUUGCUCACCCAAGUAAACCUGCAUACAACACAAAACAAAGAUCUCAUUUUCCAUUUUCAUCCCCGUAAUAUAUAGAAAAUAGAAUAUGAACAACUCAGUUUCAAAGACAAGAAGUUCAAACUUCAAUUGAAUUGUGCAAUUAUGAUAACUUGGAACAAAUGCUUCAACAAGUGAAGAACAAAAAACCAAACUAGAUAUGAUGAGCCCAUUUGAUAAAUAAAAUGCAAAAUACCUGGGGAGUUGGUGAUGUAGGAGCAGGAUCAACAAUAGAGGAACACAUGUCUUUCAUAGCCAUUGUGUGAAGCGCUGCUGAAGCAUCACCUUUCUGCUUUGGGUUUGUAGAUUGGAGAAGAUUCAACAGCAGUUCUAAUCCUGAAAAUUUAGCAGCAUAGUGAUUAAAAAUACUUUCUAUGCACUGCCAGAGAGGGGGACAAAAAAAAUAAAUUUUAAAGUUUGUUACCAUUAUUGUCAAUAAAUAUAGUUUUCCGAUCAUCAGGGGAACAUAAAUGUGCAAGAGCAAGAGCUACACGUAUUUGAAGAUCCUUUUCCCCAGUGCGCAUAAGAUAUAACAUGUGUUUCAGUACCUGCAAAAGAGGAAUUGAUAGAAUAAUCAAAACCAAUAAUGUAAGCAACAGUACAAGGAUUGAGUAGGCUGAUAAUUUGGGAGAAAACUUACUCGCCCUUGCAUCUUCUCUUCCAAUCUUUUUAACGUCUUUGUUACACACUCUUGAGUAGGCUGCAAGUCAAACAACAAUGAUAAUGAAACUAAAUUGAUUAUAAAUUAGUGAGAAGAAGAGGUUCUAUUACCUUGAUAAACAAACAACUAAAUUAUCAUUCCAAAGAAGAAAUGACAGAAAAUUAAAUGUGAACAUAUUGUAGUACUGUGCUGCAAAGAGCAAAUGAACGUACUUGAGCGUUGAAAUGUCCAUCAUGCAGUUUUUGAAAACCACCAGCCUUAAUUAUAACCGCAACAUUGUCCUGUCAUACAAAGCAGUUAUGUCAGAGGCAGCAUAUCACCAGGCAUCAAUGAUUAAUAAAGGGCCACAUACUAUGCUGAACGAGUAAAAAACAAGGAAACUAACUUCACCUCAUUAUCAGCCAGACCAUAGAGAGCAAAAGCUGCGUUGUGUUGAACGGAACCAUUCUUUGUGUCAAGAAGAUCAAGCAGAGGCUCUAUACCUCCAUUAUAAGCAAUACCAGCUUGAUUGUGUGAGUCCUAACAUGAAUUAUAUAAACAUUUAGGAUUGAUUUCGAUAAAUUAAUUCCCAUAUACAGAUAAAUACUGGUUGCAAAUGAUAAUCACCUGUGCCAACCUCCCAAGUGCAAAAGUUGACAUUUCCCUAAGCUGUAAAUCUGAAGACUUAAGCAUCUCAAUUAAGGGGUUUAUAGCCCCUCUUUGGGCAAUGUGAAUCUGCAUGAACCAUGUAUGAGGAUCAAUAAGAGAAUUCCACACAUGACAAGCAAAUCGCAUUGUAAAUUUGCAAAACACAAUCUAACCAACCUUGCAAUCUGAAUCCGUUGUAGCAAAUUGACCAAUUAAAAGAGCUGCUUCUCUUCGGCUCUCCAAACAGCAGGAGCUAUCAUUGAUAUCAAAGAUUUGUUGAGAUACAAGCAUAUUAAAUGAUUAAUAUAUUAGUAAUAGCUUACUAGCACAAAGCAGCUAUAAUGUUUGCUAAAUAAAUCACAUUUCCUAGUCCUAUGGAUUGCUUUAAAAGAAAGAAAGAAAAAUAUGUAUGUCACCUUAGUAAGCAAAUAACUGGCUGUAAUGCCCCAGCCAGAAGAACUUCUCUCUUAAUUUCUGGCGAAGAAUGGACCAGAUUUCCAAUCACGCCAACCUACAAAAAAAAGGCUCAUUCAGCUUCUUGUAGCUUGGAACUCUCUAUAAAGCAAAAUUUAAUAUAAGGGGUUAUAUGAAUUCAGUUGUGUCUAACCGCUUCAUAAUGUAUUGAGGCAUCUGCUGAUCCAAGCAUUAGUACAAGAGUUGGCAACGCAUUGCAUUCAAUAAUCUGCAAUUUUCAUUCUUGUAAGCAACUAUACCAAAAGAAUCCACCGUAGUAAGUUCCUGUGAAAAAUCAAGUACCUGAUUUUUGUUCUCAGCAUUUUGAAAUGCGAGAGUCCGCAAGGCACCUGCAGCUGCUCUCUGUACCUUUGUAUCAUUGAAUUCAAGCAAUUCAACAAGAGGAGGGAUACCACCGUCCAACCUGAACAUAGCAUCUAUUUUAGAAUAGGGAAUAUAUUAUACAUAGCAUACAUAUCUAAGGUGUUGGAAUUUGGAAAAACCUGACAAGGGUCUUAAUGUUGGUAUUUUCAUGGGCAAGGCUGGUUAUUGCAUCGGCUGCUCUCCUAAGAAGACCAGAAAAAAGUGCUUGAGAAAUUACAGGGCUUUUGGGUCUCUUUAACAACUCUACGAGAUAGGACAAGGCUCCAGCAUCAACGAUGAGUCGUUGAUACUCUGGCUGUUUGAACAUAAAGAUCAGCAUAAAUAAAACCCAAGUUAAUAUACUUCAUGAUGUACAAAUUUGAAUUAAUCAUUAAAAAAAGAGAAAAAUGGAUACUCAAAAACAUAAUCAUCUUCUUCAAAACAUUCAAAAGGUCUUAUAUUGAAACGGAAUGCACAAUCCAUGGUGAAUCAAUUGUGUAAUUGCAUAUAUACAUAUAACGAUAACUGCUCCAUAGUAACAUAAUUAUUAAUCGCUUAAUUUUUGUAACAAUUGAAAACUAAGUUGGGAUUAAUCAGUGGGUCAUUCCAGAAAAUUAUUGUCGCUAAUCCUAGUUUAAACAUUUGAAAUGGAUCAUUCAUCAAACAAUUAAAAUUAUUACAAAAAAAAAAAUAUAACUGAAGAUUCAAUGAGUCAUUACAGAAAAUUAUCAUCGCUAAAUAUGUAAAUCAUUUCUCAGUCCUAAUCUUUAAACAUCACCUACUCACUCCACAUACACUUUUUCAGAAAUGAGACUAGUAGGAACAAAAGUUGAUUAACUCAAUGAAUCAAAAUUAAGACAAAACUUGACCUAAUCAAUAAAAAAUUCAUGACAUAAUUGAUAUUAUUCAAAAAGAAUAACGUAAUUACUUUGACAGCGAGGAGACCAAGGAUGAACGCACAAUCCUUCUCCAUAUCAUACUUAUAAGAAUCAGCAUCACAAUCUCCGGCCGUCUCCAGAAUCUCCACCAGAACAGGAACAGCACCGCAAUUGACUAUAACAUCAACAAUAUCCUCUACAAAAAAAAAAAAAAAAAAAAAAAAAAAAAAAAAAAAAAUCAAAACAAAUUAAAAUUAAAAAAUAAAAUUGAACAACACGGAAUGAAGAAAACGGAAAACAGUACCGUCUUUGGCGAAUUCGGAAAGGACAAANUUGCUUUGGUUUUUGUGCCAAGACUCACAUUUCUUACUAUAUUUUGGUUGUCCCACAAGUUGUCCUACAAAAUGGUUGUUCAAAUAACACUCCUCUAUUAAUUAAUUCCAAUAAACAUAACUCAAAUUAGGAUUUAAUUUAUAAAUACUGACAGUGUAAAACUCUUUUAUACAUGCAUCCAACCAAAAGACUCCACGACGUUCAUCGAUGCAAGUGUAAAACUAUUUUACACUGACAGUGCAUUUUCUAUUUUGUCUAAAUUGUGAGUUUGGGUAUAUAGAAUUACAAGUUCAUAACUUGAAUUCUGAAAACAUGAAUUACACAAGAAUGAAGGAACACGUGAAAUUCAAAACAUAAGAAAAGUGAAGAAUGAAUUUUGGGUUACCUGAAUGGUGGGAUACUGAGAUUGGAGGGUUGGUGUAGCAGCGAGAGGUGAAGUGGAGAACCUGCUACAGCGGGUGGGAAUAAAUUGUGGAGAAAUUGAAAUUGGUGGAGAUGGAGAAUUUGGAAGCCAUAAGCGUGAUGAUGAUGGUGACGAUGAUAGUUGAAAUUGAACACUCAUCACCAUGUUUAUUGCUGCUAGUGCUACUCUUGAGUUUCGUUUUUUGAUAUAAAUUCAAGGGAAGAUGCUCAAAAUAUACAUUAUCUUUUUAUUUGAAGAAAAAUAUUCAUUACAUACAAUACAAGCUGAUUUUUUCUUUUUUUCCGUAAAAUAUUUUAGAUUGAAGAAGUAAAAAAUGAUAUGCAUUGUUUAG
rnacentral:lncRNA from 1 species